rnacentral:rRNA from 1 species
UACGAGUGCCUCAAGCGUUAUCCGGAAUCAUUGGGCGUAAAGGUUGUGUAGGUGGUUAUAUUAGUCUUUUGUUAAAUUCUUCGGCUUAACCGGGGGCAUGCAAAAGAAACGGUAUGACUAGAGGAUGCGAGGGGUCUGCGGAACUCAUAGUGUAGCGGUGAAAUGCGUUGAUAUUAUGGGGAACACCAAAAGCGAAGGCAGCAGACUGGAGCACUCCUGACACUGAAACAAGAAAGCGUGGGUCGCGAAUGGG